UAAAAAUAGAUAAAAAUAAUUUAAUUUCAUAAAGAUUUUUUAGAGAAGCUUUCUAGAAGCUUCAUAGAUGCUACUUGACUUUACAUAUGUUUGUAGUCGAUUGAUAGGUUAGAAACUUGGUCAAUAAUUUAAUCACAUGUGUUGAUAGCUUGUAGAAUAAGCUAAUUAUGCAGCAUUGUCGUAAUAUGUGAAGUCUUGCUUGAGAGUGCUCUAGGUACUUGGCUGUGGAAGGAAGAAUGGAAAUUACAACAACAAAAUCCUAAUUCUAAUUGAAUACUAAGAAUGCUAAGCAAGCUUUAAUCAAAUUCAAAGAAACCUCAAAAGAAUUACAAAGAAAUAAUAAGAAAUCUUAAAAAAAUAUUAAAAUGAUUAUAAAUAUAUCUCAAAUACAUCUCAAUCCAAUCUUAAUUUAAUCCUAAUUAAAAUCCUAUUAGACUUCAUUCAAACUUUAGGCCAAAAACUAACUAAAUCUUAAAUCCUAAAUAAAUCCAAAUAAAAUCCUAAAUUCUAAAUCAAAUCCUAACCAAAUCCUAAACUCUAAAUCAACUCCUAACCAAAUCUUAAUCCUAAAUCAAACUCUAAUCCUAAAUCAAACCUUAACCAAAUCCUAAUCCUAAAUCAAAUCCUAACCCUAAAUCAAAUCCUAACCAAAUCCUAAUCCUAAAUCAAACCUUAAUCAAAUCCUAAAUUUUAAAUCAAAUCCUAAUCAAAUCCUAAAUCUUGAACCAAAUCCUAAACAAAUCUUUCCUAAAUAAAAUCCUAACCAAAUCCUAAAUCCUAAAUCAAAUCCUAACCAAAUCAUAAACCCUAAAUCAAAUCC
rnacentral:lncRNA from 1 species